CUCCCAGGGCUCCUGAGAUUCCGGCAGCAGCAAGAACAGCAUUUCCAAGGUCACAGCAUGAAGGUUGCUGUGUUGGAUCUCGGGUCUCUCUUUGCCAAAAUCUUCAAGACCUCGACGGCGUCCCCCGCGGUCCCCUCUCCGGUCACCUCCUCCAGCCACUUGGGAGGCGCAGGGUCUGCGGGCGCCGUCCAAACCCCGACUCCGACCCCGACCUCGACCUCGACCCUCCUCCCCGCGCUGGCUCCCGACUCAGCCUCGGCCUCGCGGGGGCCACCCACCUCGCUGCAUCCUCUGCUCGCCGCUUCCUAUGCCCGAGUCUCGGCCGCCAGCCGCGCGGCAGAAGCAGCAGGGUCUCCCUUCCCCCUGCCCGGUAGCCCCAGUACAGCCAAAAUCCCGCCGGCGCCCCAGCCUCUGCUCCUGUCUAGCGCCCACCGACACGCCGCGGGGUCCCCGGCCCAGCUGGUGGCCCUGGCGCGGUCGCGCCCCGAGAGCCCCCGGCAGCCUCGCCUGCCUGGCUCCGGAGAGAGAGAGCCCAGCGCUUGGAAGACGCCUGGGUCUGGCCCCAAGACCCUGUUCUUCACCUUGCCGGACAUCGGCGAGGAGUGGGGCUCGGACAGCGACUCGGAGGACGGAGGAGAAGGACGAGGACUCUCAGAAGGAGCUAGAAAGCAUAGUUUUGCUGUGAAAAACAAAGAUCCUUUACCUACAUAUUUUACAAGAAACGUGCAGAAAGCCAUUGAUAAAUAUACCAGUGAAUCCCCAUCAUCAUUCUCAUCCAGUGGAAGCUGCACACCCACAGAAGCCCACAACUCAUGGGCUGGAUCUUCAACACAGAGUUCGACCACUGGCUUCUCUACAGAGAGGAGCUCCAUUUAUUCUUGGAGGGGCGAUGAAUUUGACAAAGCCAAUGCUCAGAAAGUGCAACAAUUAUUUUGGGAGGUGGAGGAAAUGUUAUUUGAAGGGAAAGUAGGUGCUCAGACCCAGAACCUACUGGCUGAAUGCUGUGAGUGGGCAAGCAGAUCCCUCCAUCUAAGAGUAUUAGGAAGACAGCUCAUCCUGCCAACUGAUGAAGGAUUCCAACACUUUCAGGGCAGCCUGCCAAGUUCUGCCAGUCACAAACCUGUACCUGCGGCCCCUGAACCCAACAGCAGUGUCAGACAGCUGUGCAUUUCUGGCUCUCAGAUAGUGCCAGCAGCACUGGAAGCCUCUGCCCUGCCAGGCCCUGAUGGCACGGGGAGUGCCAGCCUAGUGGCAUGUUCAUCCCUGCAAGAAGAGGUUUAUGGUGUGGAUGGGAAGAUUGAAGAGUAUUUUGCAUUUGACAGAAAAGAGGAUGGUGAUGAACAUCUUGAACAAAAGCCAGCUCACUGUGGCAGGAAGUGGCAUAGACACGGACUUCCUCCCAUCUCCCCUCAUGACUGUAUCAAAGAUACUGUGGCAGCAGGAGUAUUCGAUCAUGUCUGGACAAAUGUGGUAGAAAUAUUGGAAGAACUAAUUAGAAAGAACUGGGAAACUACACUCACAGGGAAAAAUAAAGAAAAAUUGAAAGCAGCUGAAACUAGAUCCCCACAUGUGCUCAUUUCCCGUAUCAGCACAGAUGUGUCAAGUGUCCCCCCAUCCAGAAGUUCUGAAACUCGCUGUGUGUCCCUGGCUUCGCAACUGAAUCCACCUCAGAUUCAUCGCUUCUCCAACAAUUUCUGUAGUGACUUGAAUGGUGUGAUGACAAUUCAAGCAAAACCUCUUCAGCAGAGACCUACCUACUUUGCAGAUAGAACACAGAGUGAGCAGGAGGACAAAUCAUCUGCUGGAGGAGUGGUCAGUGCCCUUUCCUCUGCUCGCCACCGAAUGGGGCGGACCUCAGAUGUGAGAGGAUUACAAACUUCUGCCAAGAAAACAGUGGUGCACAGGAGGCUGCCUUCUCUUACUUCAGAUUCACAGAGACUAAAAACCCCCAAUAUCUACAGUGAUGAAAUUCUUAGGGGAACAAAGCUGCAAACUAGUGUGGACCAUAUGUCUUCCUCUCCAAUUCAAACUUCCCGGAGCAGGUUGCCCCCCAUUGGCUCAGACAGUGGGGAGCAGAACACAGCACUUUCUGGAUCCUGGUCUAUAACCUACAAAGGGAGGCACCCACAGAGCCGUGUGUUAAGUGCCAUGCCUGACUGUGUAGAGCGAUCACCUCUUCAUGAAAGAACCUUUGCCCUGGAGCAGCUUUCAAGGCCCAGCACAACUCACACCUUCCGGUCAGAUACACCUCGAAAAGGUUCCUUGACCCUGAUGGAAUUCGCCCACCACACGUGGACAGGUCAGAGUGUUUUGACAGCAAAUACUAAAGAUAGCUAUUAUCGCUGAUGGUCAGAGGCCUUUGCUCACAUCUGUAAAGUGACUAAGAGUACACAAAAGACAUGUUCCUGUAUGGGUUCACAGUAUCUCCCUAAAUCUUUUCAGAGAACGAUUUUGACUUCAAGAAAGAAGUUCCAAGUGGCAUCUUGAUAUUUCUUCAUCAGAGCUAUGCGUACUGGAGCAUUCUAAACCUCAGCAUAUCACUUACCACUUGAAAAGCUGAAGAACAAGUAUUAUACUAUUUGUCUGACAGUCUGAGAUGUCAGUCUACCCAAAAGAAAUGGAAACAGUAACUUAAUUUUGAACACUUUGCCUUGCACAGAGAAUAAAGGUCAAACUCCCUAAUCUUUACUGAAAGCAUUCUUGAGGUUUUUCAGGCUUUAUUGAGAAGAUAAUAAUGUGUUUAAAUUCCAUCACUUUAUCAGUUAUACACACAACUAUUGUGUUCACGUACUCAUAUACUAACAAUAUAUAAGUAUAUUAUCUAGGAAUACACCAUUUUGUAAGUUUGUACUUUAACAUAUUUUUUGAUCUAAUUCUCUUAGUAAUUCAUCAAAACCCUAACCAAAGAGAUCACUUUCUUCUUUAUAAAAGGAUAAAGUCACAUUUGAGACAGUCUAUUUGGCAAAGAUUCUGGUUGCUACAGUCAUUGUGCUGACUUUCUUAUGUGUUUGUUAAAAAGUGUUUUAGUUAUGAACCACCUUAAGAAAUGUCAGUGGCUAAUUCCCUUAAGUCAAUUCUGUUUUACCAGUUCUCAUUUUCAAAUUAAGCAGUCCUUUUAAAAAUGCUUCACAUUUAUUGAUUUUUUUUCAGAUUUAAAAUUUUUUAUUACACGUUUGCAUUACAUAAUGAUUACUUUUCUUUUGGGGAGUUGGUACAUGUACACACUCACAUUUAUAGAUUUUUAAAGAUGAACAUAAACAUCAUUAAAAUCUAUUGCAUAUGGUUUCAUAUGGAAAUGUCCAUCUGGAAGGAAGGCUUUACAGCACCAAGGUCUUUCUGUCAUCACAGUCUGCAAAGAGACCCCUUAACCUUUUUUUCUUAAAACAGCAGCCUCCUUCAGCAUCUUUCCUGGCUGUACUUCUUCAGAGAAAGCCUCCCUGUCUGACAUUAUACAGAAAAUGGAGUGGAGAGUGUAAAGGAGAAAUGUCAGUUGGACUCAAGGCUCCUUUUAUAGUGAUAUGAGUUUUUAGAUUCAUUUUGCUAUUCUCACAUCUCAAAUCAGCAUAAUUUCUUCUUCUCCAUCACAUAUUUAUACUUUGUUGCUCUAAUUUUCAAAUCAAAACUUUAUAUACACAUAUAUAUGACAUAAACAUACAAUGAGUUAUUUUCAGACCUAUUUCUGGCUUUAAGGAGAGGGGUUUGUUGUCUAUUUAUAGAUGCCUGGAAAUGGGAAAAAUAUGCUGAGACUACAAUUAGCAUCAUCUUUUAUCAUAGUGACAAAAAAUGAACCUGUAAUUUGCCUCCACUGAAUAUUGUCUCCUUUAUAUUCUCCACUCCAAUUUCCAUAGCCAUGGAACCUAUUUGGGAGUGGAAACAUCCAGACCUGUUUGAAUGGCCAAAACUCCUUAACUCUAGGGAAUAAAUAUGUCCAGAGCUUAGUCAUCCACACCAAAUAGAUCAAAGCACUUGGGGAAUUUUUUUUAAUUACUUCUCAGCAUUAGCUAUGGAAGCUUUUAAGAGAAAAUACCAAUCUUGAUAGAGCGAUUUUUGAGGAAUUUCUGGACAGGUGAGUGGCCUAAGAAUCUGUUCAAUGGAUCCCUGGUUAGUUGCUCUCAGGUCCAUCAUUGCCCCAAAAAGAGCUGUCCACCCUGCUCUCUCCCAACUACUCAGGCUACUUUGUACAGCUUCCAGGCACCAUCCAGCUGCUUCCCCAUUCAGCCCAAACUUGAAAGAGAGAUGGCUGAUAGGCAGCCUAAGUGAACAGGGAGUGAAUCAAGAUCAGCGAAGUCUAUCCAAUGAUUGCUUUAAUUUAUUUGGCUUCAGAGGUUUGCGGUUGAGAACUUAUUAUUUAUAUGAUGACAAAAAACUGAAAAAUACAAAAAUCUUGAAUUUUAUCUUCCAAACAGUUUGAUUGGAAGAUAAAGUGCUAUUAGAGAUUUUAUAAGAACCUGGCUCUCUUCCAGAAGUGAAGUUCUUGUAGCAUUUAUUUUUUUCACCUGGGUUAAAUUUUUUAUUUAUAUGUUAAAUGAUAUUUAGAGGUUACUAAAUAAUAUUUUUAUCAAGGAUAGUGUUUUAAAAAAUUAUAAUAAUAUGAAAAUUAGGGCCAUAUGUUCAUAAUAAUCUACUUUGAUAAAUGAGCCAUAUCUCAGAAUUUGUGCUAAGAAUUUUAAAAAUCAAAUUUAAUUACUUCUAUUAUCAAUUUUUGAAUUCAGGUUAGCGACUGCAUCAAUUAAAAUAUUUGUUAAUUUGUGCAAAACCAAAGUAGAAUUGAAAAAAUUUAAAAAUCAUCUGGUAAACUAUAAAAUAACAGAGAAAAAUGGCUAGAUUUUGUAAAGACUAUAAAAAGAAGCAUCCAUUUUAAUGUCAUUCUGAACUAGAAAGGAGUUCUAUACCAAUUGAGAUACCUUUUUAUAAUAUCAUAAAUCAUUUGGGUAAAUUUUUUAUUGUCAGUGUUUUCUUAUGUCUUCAGAUCAUUGUUCAAGACUCUUCAUAUUUUUAAAUAAAAUAUAAAAGUGUUGAAAGUU